rnacentral:rRNA from 1 species
AUUGAACGCUGGCGGCAGGCUUAACACAUGCAAGUCGAGCGGGGUGAUGGUGCUUGCACUAUCACUUAGCGGCGGACGGGUGAGUAAUGCUUAGGAAUCUGCCUAUUAGUGGGGGACAACAUCUCGAAAGGAAUGCUAAUACCGCAUACGUCCUACGGGAGAAAGCAGGGGAUCUUCGGACCUUGCGCUAAUAGAUGAGCCUAAGUCGGAUUAGCUAGUUGGUGGGGUAAAGGCCUACCAAGGCGACGAUCUGUAGCGGGUCUGAGAGGAUGAUCCGCCACACUGGGACUGAGACACGGCCCAGACUCCUACGGGAGGCAGUAGGGGGGAAUAUUGGACAAUGGGCGAAAGCCUGAUCCAGCCAUGCCGCGUGUGUGAAGAAGGCCUUUUGGUUGUAAAGCACUUUAAGCGAGGAGGAGGCUCUUAAGGUUAAUACCCUUGAUGAGUGGACGUUACUCGCAGAAUAAGCACCGGCUAACUCUGUGCCAGCCGCCGCAGUAA